rnacentral:rRNA from 1 species
UACGAAGGGGGCUAGCGUUGCUCGGAAUCACUGGGCGUAAAGGGCGCGUAGGCGGGUCAUCAAGUCGGGGGUGAAAUCUUUCAGCUCAACUGGAAAAGAGCUUCCGAUACUGGUGGUCUCGAGGGAGGUAGGGGUCGAUGGAACUUCCGGUGGAGCGGUGAAAUGCGUAGAUAUUGGGAGGAACACCGGUGGCGAAGGCGGCCCUCUGGACCGGUACUGACGCUGAUGCGCGAAAGCGUGGGGAGCAAACGGG